UACGGAGGGUGCAAGCAUUAAUCGGAUUUAUUGGGCGUAAAGGGCGCGUAGGCGGGUAGACAAGUCAGAUGUGAAAUCUCGGAGCUCAAAUCCCGAACGGCAUUUUAAACUGUUUAUCUAGAGGGUAGACGGAGAACAUAGAAUUCCACAAGUAGCGGUGAAAUGCGUAGAUAUGUGGAAGAAUAACGGUGGCGAAGGCGCUUUUCUAGUUUAUACCUGACGCUGGGGCGCGAAAGUAAGGGGAUCAAACAGG
rnacentral:rRNA from 1 species